GACGAACGCUGGCGGCGUGCCUAAUACAUGCAAGUAGGACGCAGUCGGGAACGGGAGAGUUACGCGUAGGUAACUGCCGGGUAGAGGGGGAUAAAUAUGGGAAACGAUAGCUAAUAACGCAUACAUGUAGGUGGAGCUGCGUUGUAUUAGCUAGUAGGUAGGGGAAUGCCCUAUCUAGGCGAAGAGACAGAGCCGGUCUGAGAGGGUGAACGUCCACACUGGGGCCUGGAAACGGCCCAGACUCCUACGGUGUGCAGCAGUAGGGAAUCUUCGGAAAAGGGGGGAACCCUGACCGAGCAACGCCGCGGGAGUGAAGAAGGUUUUCGGAUCGUAAAGCUCUGUUGUUAAGGAAGCGGUACUUAACCAGAAAGGGACGGCUAACUACGUGCCAGCAGCCGCGGUAAUAC
rnacentral:rRNA from 1 species